rnacentral:rRNA from 1 species
CGUACUUUGAUUCAAUGCGAUGUGGGGACGGAGAAGGUUAGGUUAGCAAACUGUUGGAAUAGUUUGUUCAAGCCGGUAGGUGGAAGACUUAGGCAAAUCCGGGUCUUCAUAACACCGAGAAGUGAUAACGAGUGUCUACGGACACGAAGUAACCGAUACCACGCUUCCAGGAAAAGCCACUAAGCUUCAGUUGAAUCAGAACCG